rnacentral:lncRNA from 1 species
CCAGCACUCAUAAACUGAGGCAGGAGGAUUGUGAAUACCAGCCUGAACACUGGAAAUUGGAAUGCCCCUGUGUGGGCUCGUCCAUGUGCCACACCAUGGAGGUCCAGCCUCACCAACACCAGCCAUCUGAGACUCUGUCAGCCUUCAAACUCCUCAGCCUGGUGAAGCACUGAGGGCGCUUAGAUUUGGAGACUCAUUCCCCUCUCCCAGCCUGACAGUAGGACACUGCGUGUAGUAUGUAAAUCCAUCGGCUUUGUAUUGGGCUUGGGAGCUACCUAUUCUGUUUUUACCUCUCACUGGGGUCCCACAGUUCCCUCACCAAUUCCCCUUCCUUCCCAUUUCAGUAAAACCUGGGACUGCUUUAGCUGAAAAGGCUGUCCCACUUCUGCUCAUCGACUUAUCCCUUCAGGUGGAUCUGAUGGCGUUUGAUGACUAGGGUACUGAUAGCUCAUUAGUUCAUUAGUUAAGUUUCCUGCUAAAAGUAGACAGGUGAGCCUCUUUUACAGGCUUCAUAGUCAGGAAUUAGCAGGUUUCAGAUGUCAUUUCAGAGGUUCAGCGUUUUAAAUUUCUUCUGAUUGUCUUCUAAAAAUGUUCAUGCCUUUUAACCCAUAGCCUUUUGCUAUAACACCAAGAUGUAAAUCUGUUCCAGUUGUUUUACAGAUACCAGCAGGUUCCUGGGAAAACAGCUCUGCUACUGUGUCAAGAAAUCUGCCUGAUGGAAACUAGUAUCAGUCUCCAGAGCCUAUUUUGGCCCACCUAUUUUCAAGCGUAUUUUGCAGGUUCACUCUUCCUGCCUGGGCCAAGGCGAACCCACAGAGGGCCCUCUAGAUAACACCUGCACCAGCUCCUGGGACUUCAUCAUUGGUACCACCUCUCCAGGCUUAAGUGGAAACCUACCCAGCAUCUGGAAUCUGGUUUUCCAAAAUGUCCCAAUGAAGGGCACAUCUGCUCUCCUGUCUCACUCAUUCACCCCUGCCUCUUUUGUACAACCAGGACACUUCUCCAUUCCCCUCAUCCUGUCAAUUAUCACCCUUCCCAUGGCUAGCCCCAUUCAUAGGGCCAGGGGAUAACAAUCUGUUUUUGUUUUUGUUUUUGUUUUUGUUUUUGUUUUCUCCUAGCAACCUGCCUUCUCUGCCUCUUCAAGGAACAGAUGCCUGAGGUCUCCAAGAUGGCAGCUAAUGGAAUGCUUCUUCACUCAUACCACCCACUGAGUGUGAUCCCACUGACUUCCGACUCCUCCCUGCCCGCAUCAUCCCUUGUUAGCAGGAAGAAGGCAGACAUGACCUGG